AACAGUAUACAAAGCCCGUGAAAUAAAAGAGCUCCGACACGUUAUUGGAUAUUCAUGAACAUUCAAGUUUCCAAGGCACAUCUCUACUCUCUUCUCUUGCCUACAAAAUCCUGCUUGAAUUGUGCAUUUCCUGUUGCAUUUAUCCAUAAAAGAUGUAUUUGCCUAUGAUUGUCUGCAUUUCAUCCCUUGUAGCGUCUCUAUUAUG
rnacentral:misc_RNA from 1 species